UACAGAGGUCAGGUCGGCUAUGGUGAUGCAGGGGAUUGGGAGGGGGUGAUGCUCGACCUCACAUCAGCUACCUUGUUUAUAAAAAAGCACCACGUUGAAGUGGAAGCCGUCCUCCCGCCUGAUGGAGCUUCUGGAAGAGUCUGCAGAGGAGCUGAUUAAAGAGUACCAGAAUGGAGGCAAAGAUAUCGUAGAAAAAGGACUAUGCUGAGUGUCGUGAAGAUCCAUGUCCCCCAUGAAGUUCAGCAAAAGAAGACGCCACACCUCCCAACGUGUCCAUCUCCAUCGAGGGAUCGGAGGUGCUUGAUGAGUGUAAAUGUUUGGUGAACGCCUGCCUUCUGCUCACGGGCAUCAUCCAUGCAAUGAACUUAAGUAACACAUCAAAGUUGAAAUACGCUUCUGUCGUUUUCAAAAAUCCAUCUUGAACUUAAUUUCCUCAAGAUUUAUCUUGAAAGCCCACAUGUUUGCAGAAGCAGUGGUGGCAUUUUGAGGUACUUGAGAAUUUCAUUCCAUUGCACUCUAUACUCCACUACAAAUCAAAGGGACAUAUUGUACUUUGUGCUUCACUAUCUUAUAUAGAGUGUAUAAAGUAUAAGGUUCUGUUUUUUAAUUUACCAAAAAAUGUAAAUAUUUUUAGAAAUCCUUCAGCUAUUACAUUUUUGUUUGUUAAUAUUGGAUGUUUUACUACAGGGUACUUUUUACAUGUAAUAAUCAAACAGAAUUUAGCUAAUUAUAGUUUUACUUAAGUAACAUUUUCAUUACCAGACUUUCACUUGUAGUAUUCUUACAGUGUGGUAUGAAUAUUUUGUACUUAACCCUUGUGUUGUGUUCGAAAGCUGUUACCGUUCAUGGUGUUUCGCGGGUCAAUUUUGACCCAUGAUUUAUCUCAGUUCAAACACUGAAAAAUAAUGACUAUCAUCCAAUAUUGUUUUAACUACAUCAUAACUAACUUAUUAUGCAUUCAUAACUGUACAAUCCUGUUGUAAUUUAAUUGUAUGGUUCCACAACACAUUACACCACAUAUUGCCCACGUGCAUGUGUGUGUUCAGGUUCAAGUGUUAGUGUACAUAUUCUUUGUGAAAGGUGGAGUUCCCGUGGGGGAGGGGGGCCAGCCAGAGGGAUGGGAGACCAGGUGGAUGUUGCGAAAAAAGUAGUGUUACAGUGGAUGAAGAGGGUGGGGAUGGGAUGUCUAAAGUCAAAGAUGAAUCUUGAUUGGGCAAAAUUUGACCCCGAGUCACCCACAACAAUUCUGCUGGGUCUUCACAGACCCGAACACCAAAUUAUACACUUUUUUUUUUAGAGACCUUCAGACUUGGCUAAAAUUGUCAAAAUCAGUUUUGUAGUGUUUAUAUAGCUGUUGUGGAGGAUAUCAUGAAGCGAUAAAAAAAACUAGAGUAGUUAUUAUAUAAUUUUUACUUGAAACGGGUCACUGGAUACCCAAACACAUCAUAAGGGUUAAGAAAAGGGCCUGAUACUUCUUCGACCUGCUUUGUUAAGUUUAACUGAUGUACUGUAUGUGCAGUAUUGUUAAAAUCAUUGUAAACUGUAGAUUAAUCAUGGCAUGUAUCAGACAACAGAAAAAAAAUGUUGCUGUUUAAAAGUGUCUACUGUUUCAUGUUUUGUAGUAGCCGCCUUAGUGUAAAAGAGUUUUAUUGAAUAAGAAUUGCAUUUGAUGAUACUUGAUAAUAAAAAAAUCUUACUCCCCAUUUUUUUCAGUGUAGGGCAACCCAAAUAGGACACUUGACGUCUAGACGGCUGCCCAAUAUGCAUUGCGCAUGCACGAGUUUUAAACUUAAACGGUUGCCCAAUUUACAUUGAUAUAUAUAUAUAUCAUUCCAAAGCUGGUAAAGACUUUUCAAAUUAGCAAUAAUAAUCAUAUAAGAAAAGUACUGAUCUAAUAACAGAGAUUUGUUCUUGAAUCAACUUUUUUAUGGAAAUGUUUUUAUGUAAUUGUAUUUAAUUAAUAAAAUGAAAGACAUUCACAGUUUAUGUAAUUAGAUAUACAUUAUUAAUGCCUUACCUUUUUGUAUACAUUCACAGUAAAUAUUUCUUCAGUAUGAUAGCUGUCUAACAGAAGUUCAAUCCAUUUCUCACUUAUUCUGAGAAUGUACUUAACCCAAUAAAAGGAGUUGUUAAAUAAUAGUGAAGUCACGUUGUAAUAACAAUAGCUCAUCUCUCUCGUUCAGAUUAAUAUUGUCUGUUUUUUUUACUUUUCUUUUUCUGCUUUACCAAAUGCCACUGUGUCAAGUGUCCCAUUUGAUUUGCCGUAUGUAGGCUAGUUGUCCAAUAUGGCGGACCAUCUCGCACAUACGCAAUUUAAAUCAGGCAGAUAUGCAGAUCGGAUAGUCAAAAGGGGCAGAAAUGUAAAUUAUAUUGUAGGUAAGAUUCAGGAAGCCAUUACGGAAAUUGAAAGCUCGUCUCAUGGGGGUUUAGAUUGUCGUUUUUUUACGAGGAAAAGGAUAGGUGAGGAGGUUAGGUUAAAACUUUAUGGACAAGAACUAAAGAAAGUGAAGACAUUUAAGUUUCUGGGAAUAUGGUUGGAUGAGAGAGUCACAUGGAGUACUCACAUUGAUAAAGUAGUAGAUACAUGUACAAAGGUUUUAAAUGUUAUGAGGUGCUUGGCAGGCACUAAGUGGGGGGCUGAUAAAGCUGCUUUGAGGAACGUAUACAGCCUUAAUUAGAUCAGUCAUAGAAUACGGACUAAUAGGGUAUGGUUCAGCUGCAUACUCUUCUCUACAAAAAUUAGAUAGAGUCCAGGCACAAGCACUAAGGAUAUGCUGUGGGGCAGUCAGAUCUACACUUCAGGUAGAGGUCGGAGAAAUACCAAUUUCUUUGAGGAAAAAACAGUUAAUUGUUAAUUACUGGGCAAAUCUACGGGGACAGAUACUCACCCUACUAAACAAACUGUAAAAACAAGUUGGGAAAAAAAAAAGUUUUUGUGUUUCGGAAUUAUGUAAGGAAUUCAAAGUUAAAGAAUGGAAUAUUAGUCCGAUGGUGUUGUUAUCAGCUGUUCUACCAUCAUGGUUGCUACCCCAACCUAUAGUAGAUUUAUCCUUAUUGAAACGGUUACAUUCAAUGAAAAAUAAAAUCAAUGUGCAGGCUUAUGUGAACACUGUUCUACACAAACAAUUUACUGAUGGAUCCAAAAAUCCAGAAAAUGGUCAAACUAGUUGUGCAUUUUAUGUUCCUGAAUUAAAGGUCAAAGUGGGAAAGCGAACAAGUGAUCACAUCGCAGUAUACACAGUAGAGAUGAUGGCUAUCUCACUAGCACUUCAGUGGGUAGAGGAAAUACAGCCAUAUGCUAGCAGACAUAUUUGCUCUGACUCCAGCGCAGCUCUGGAAUGUCGUCAGGAUAUUUUACACAUCAUGUUUAGGUUAGUUCAUUUGGGAAUUGAUGUUCAUUUGUGUGGGUUCCAGCGCAUGUGGGUAUUAGAGGGAAUGAGGUAGUGGAUCAACUGGCAAAAUGUGGUUUGAAAGCAAACCAGAUAUAAUGGUACUGUCAUGUUUCAUGGGCUUUUUGGGGUGUAGUCCCCACUUGAAAGGGAUGAGGCGUCUACCGGACUUUGGGAACAGGAUUUCACUCCAGUGACACAGCUUAUUUUCAAUAUGUUUUAUUUUGAUUGGCAAGUUCACUUUAUGCAGUCACUUUAUGCAGGUGAAAAACCUUUGUAACAAAUAAGAGAACAUUUUAGAAUUUGUAACCAUGUAAAUAAAGCGGAUUCUUUUAACUUGGCUUUUCUGGAAAUGUUGACAAAUCAAGUUAAUUAUUAUUUUGAAACUAGAAACUAUUAUUUCCCCUUCUUUCACAGAGGUAUUCAAUGAAUAAAAUACGACUUUACUAUUUACUAGGGGUGUAACGGUACACGAACGAAUAUAACGUUAAACGUAAAAAAUUGAGAACGUGAACAACUUCUUGGAAGUAAUC